UACAGAGGGUGCAAGCGUUAAUCGGAAUUACUGGGCGUAAAGCGUGCGUAGACGGUUAUGUAAGUCAGAUGUGAAAUCCCCGGGCUUAACCUGGGAAUUGCAUUUGUGACUGCCCGGCUAGAGUGUGUCAGAGGGGGGUAGAAUUCCACGUGUAGCAGUGAAAUGCGUAGAUAUGUGGAGGAAUACCGAUGGCGAAGGCAGCCCCCUGGGAUAACACUGACGCUCAUGCACGAAAGCGUGGGGAGCAAACAGG
rnacentral:rRNA from 1 species